CGUCCUCGGUCCCGCCUCCCGAGGACAUAAAUAGUCACUGCACGGAGACGAACAGGCUGUGCCACCCCGCUGCAAGCUACGCGCUGUACCGGUCGUGUGCUGCAUUUAGUCCGGACACCAUCUUAGGUUCUCCGCUCCACUGCAAGCUUCGCGCCCCAAUGUCUAGACCUCAAUGCCCGCGGCACCCUCUGGAUCCCAAAGACAUGCAGCUCAUCAUUGUGUGUGCUGCCGGAAAUCUAGGGGAGGAGACAUGCUCUCGGGAGCUGCAGGGAGCUACGGUGUAUUGCACCUCAAGUGGGGGAGGGGGUAUCCAGUGGGAAGUGUUAUUGUAUUUUUUAUGGGAUUUUAGGAAUACCAGUGCGCUGGGUAGGAAAGCACGAUUGUAUUGUUUUAUGGUAUUUAUUUUGGGGGGCGGGGGCGUUUUUAGGUUGCACUCCAAUUUGGGUGCUGUUUUCUAAGGGGGUUUUGGCUUUUUUUCUUGUUACCAAUGAUUCAGCUGUCCUAUUGUUUUUAAAGCUGAUAUACUAAUAAAGAG